rnacentral:rRNA from 1 species
CAAUAGCAUAUAUUAACGUUGUUGCAGUUGAAAAGCUCGUAGUUGAACUUUUGGUAGGAGCGACCUGGCCUUGGGCGCAUGCCCUUGUUUGCCGUGUGUCGUAUCUGGCCAUCCUUUUCUUCUUUUUGGAAGGAAUCUUUUACUGUGAGUAAACUGGAGUGCUCAAAACAAGACGUUUGUUUGGUACAUUAAAGCAUGGAAUAAUAAGAUAGGACCUGGUUACUAUUUUGUUGGUUUGCAUAGCUAGGUAAUGAUUAACAGGGACAGUUGGGGGUAUUCGUAUUUAAUUGUCAGAGGUGAAAUUCUUGGAUUUAUGAAAGACGAACGACUGCGAAAGCAUUUACCAAGGAUGUUUUCAUUA